rfam:TPA: Bos taurus chromosome 28, whole genome shotgun sequence.
UCCCUGGUGGCUCAGCUGGUAAAGAAUCCGCCUGCAAUGCGGGAGACCUGGGUUCAAUCCCUGGGUUGGGAA